GGUGUGUACUGGUCUUGAUGGAAGCUUACCUCUUGGUGGGUCGGCAUGCCCUUCGUUGGGUGUGUCGAUUAACCAGGACUUUUACUUUGAGAAAAUUAGAGUGUUCAAAGCAGGCUUUCGCCCGAAUACAUUAGCAUGGAAUAAUAGAAUAGGACGCGCGUCUUUAUUUUGUUGGUUUCUAAAUUCGCCGUAAUGAUUAAUAGGGAUAGUCGGGGGCAUUCGUAUUGCUUGGUCAGAGGUGAAAUUCUUGGAUUCUAGCAAGACGAACUACUGCGAAAGCAUUUGCCAAGGAUGUUUUCAUUGAUCAAGAACGAAGGUUAGGGGAUCGAAAACGAUCAGAUACCGUUGUAGUCUUAACAGUAAACUAUGCCGACUAGGGAUCGGACAAGCACAAUCUAUGACUUGUUCGGCACCUGAAGAGAAAUCUUUAAGUCUAGGUUCGGGGGGGAGUAUGGUCGCAAGGCUGAAACUUAAAGGAAUUGACGGAAGGGCACCACCAGGUGUGGAGCCUGCGGCUUAAUUUGACUCAACACGGGGAAACUCACCAGGUCCAGACACAAUAAGGAUUGACAGAUUGAUAGCUCUUUCUUGAUCUUGUGGUUGGUGGUGCAUGGGCCGUUCUUAGUUGGUGGAGUGAUUUGUCUGGUUAAUUCCGAUAACGAACGAGACCUUAACCUGCUAAAUAGACCCGGGGCCUUAGGGAACCGGCUGUCUUCUUAGAGGGACUGUAGG
rnacentral:rRNA from 1 species